UACAGAGGGUGCGAGCGUUAAUCGGAAUUACUGGGCGUAAAGCGUGCGUAGACGGUCAAGUAAGUCGGGUGUGAAAGCCCCGGGCUCAACCUGGGAAUUGCAUUCGAGACUGCGUGGCUAGGGUGCGGAAGAGGGAAGCGGAAUUUCCGGUGUAGCGGUGAAAUGCGUAGAUAUCGGAAGGAACACCUGUGGCGAAAGCGGCUCACUGGACCAUAACUGACGCUGAGGCGCGAAAGCUAGGGGAGCAAACAGG
rnacentral:rRNA from 1 species